UGGGGAAUAUUGGACAAUGGGGGAAACCCUGAUCCAGCCAUGCCGCGUGUGUGAAGAAGGCCUUCGGGUUGUAAAGCACUUUAAGUGGGGAGGAAGGCUCGCUGGUUAAUAGUCAGCGGGAGUGACGUUACCCACAGAAUAAGCACCGGCAAACUCCGUGCCAGCAGCCGCGGUAAUACGGAGGGUGCGAGCGUUAAUCGGAAUUACUGGGCGUAAAGCGUACGUAGGCGGUUUGUUAAGUCGGAUGUGA
rnacentral:rRNA from 1 species